rnacentral:lncRNA from 1 species
AGAGCUAGACUCUGGCUUAUAAAGCCAAUGGCUUGUUAGAGAAAGAUAUUAUCGAUGUUUCUGGAGUAGAGCUAAGGGUAUCUUGUCCUGAGCAAGCAGGUAUAUUUGAUCAUCUCCUUUUUGCUUAAAGAGAACCUAGAAUAUUGAUGUUGAAAGUAACUGCUAAGAUGAAUAAUUGAUUUACCACUAUCAUAUACUGAAACCACCAACAUGACUUUUAGGUGACAUUAUUAUUAUCUUGAGAUAGGGAAAAAAUACUUAUUGUGUUAAAAACCUAUCCAUGAUCAGUAACUGAAACAAAGCUAAAAUCUCCGAAGAAGCAUUCUUGUUCCAUAAUUCAUAUAAAAUUAUGUACACAUUCAUUCUCCCAAUAUUUCAUAUAAAGUUGAUUUUCAAAGGUAGAGACUUGGUGAAGAUAAACUCUAGAGAAAUAUUACUACUUUUUGAUCUUCAUGUAAAAUGAAAGCUCUUACAACUUGUAAUAGUUAAAAGACCAAACUAAAAAAAACUUCAUUUAUUGCUCUUAAUCAUUAUAAAUCCUUUCUUUUAUGGUUCUUUCUGUUUCUAUCUUAUGUUUUCAGAGUGGUAAAUUAACACUGAAGAAUGAUGCCAUCGAAGCUCUUGUAGACACAAGGACACUGAAGAAUGAUUGAUGCCAUCGAAGUUCUGUGAACUAUAAUGUGAUGACAGAUGAGAAGGUUGUGUUGAAGUUUCUAGUGCAGAGCUGUGUAUAUUGUUUUAAAAGGUAUUCUUGAUCAUCUCCAUUCAUCUUCACUCUUCAGUAAUUUAUUUCCACUAUCAUAUACUGAAACCAUCAAUAGAUUCUUAGGUGACAUCAUUUUCUUAUAAGAUAUAGGAAAACUAUCAUUAAUGUUGAGGUAUUGAGAAUUAGUAUCUUAUACUGAAUGGAGAUGAGUAAUUUGACAUGGGGUUUAUAGUGUUAAGUGGAAUGAGUAAUUUUGUAGUGAAAUGCUGAAUUUUAUUGAUUGAAAUAAGUGGAUACAAAGAUACAAGAACAAAGCACAACAGUGCAGUGCUUUUAGCUAAACCCUAGAGGACUAGCCUAGUUUCUCUAAAGAAACUUACACAUAUGCUGAAUUUUUCUCACAAUGCCUUCUACCAUUGUAGAUGGCUUUAUUUAUAGGCCAAAGGCCUCUUUCCACUAAAUUCCUAAACUAUUAUUGUACAUUAUUACAUUUGGUUCUUUUUGCACGAACCACUAUUCACCACAUUUUUUAUUUUUUUUUGCAUGAUUCACUAUUUAUCACUAUUCAUGCUAUUUGUAUUUAAAUGGUAUUUCAUGCAUGUAUGCCACGUCCAUCUUUACUCUUGUAACAUGGCAGAUCCAUUUCCUUCUUCAAGGCAUUUGUUUUCUUCCUUACACUUGUCAAUUGCUUCAGAUUUUUCUUGCAUACAUCUUCCACAUAAGUGAUCCUUACUAACUUUUAUGCUUUUACAUAAUUCAUUGAGGACCCACUCUUUGUAAUUCAUCACCUUUUUGUCCAAUGAAUAAAAGGGGAAUUCAUAACUUGCCAGAGAUUGAAUAUUUCUAUCUUUAAGUACUUUCCCUCCAGUUUUACUUAAAAGAAGGACAUUUGAAUUUUUGUGAAGGAUGUUUAUGCAUGACAUUUUCCCAAGAGAUUGACACUGGGAAAAUAUACUUGAAAGCUGAUUAACUAAUAUUCUAUCAUAUGUUUCUUCAUUAUAUACAUUUCCAGUUGGUUCUUCCAUUAAUGGAAAAUUAUUAUUGCUAACUCCAACACAGAUGAAAUGCUUGCUGAAAAGCAUUUCGUGUCUAGCUAUUUUCGUUCCCCCCACCCACACACACACACUAGCUAGAACAUUCAUUUAUAAAACAUCUACUUACCUUAGGCUUUGUUUGCGAGUUGGUUUUUAGAGGGGAGGGAAGGGGAGGAUUUUCUUUUCUUUUUUAAAUUAAGAAAAAUGUUUUUUAAAAUGAUCUAAUUGGUUAUUGAAGUGAACCCACUUGGGUUGGUGCAUUGGUAUUGGCUUGGGACUUGGGAGUGUGCUCCUCUUGAGGUCUGUCGAUUUUCUCUGGCGCCAAUUUGGGUGGGCUAAUUUAGCUUCUUCAAAAAAAAAAUUGGUUAUUGAAGUGUAUUUCAUUAAAGAGACCUUUGCAUUUAGUUCUUCAAAAACUAAGAAAAAGGUUAAAAUAGAAAGUGAGUUCUUCAUUCACAUACCAUCUUUUGGUCUUAAUUGAAAAAUUAUUUGAGUAGUUGAACCUUUUGUUCUGCAUAAUCUUACUAUGAUAAUACUAUUAUAUUAUUAAAUGAACUUGAUAGUAUACUUUAGACCAAAGUUCAUUCUUUUUCAUUAGCAAGUACAAUAACAAAUUAGCGUGAUAUGAAUUUAUAACACAUCAGAUAAUGGCAGAUCUAUAAAAGUUCAAUGGAUACAUGGUCAUUGAUUUUGAGCAAAUGGCUUAUUUAAACUUUACCCUGACAUUUGUAUCUGUUUAAUGCUUUAUUAAGAUACUUAACUUUUUUAUUUUUGAAACAAUAUUAAGAUACUUAGCUAUGUUCAAUUCAAAGCAUAAUUUAUUUACUUGUAGUUAUAGUUUGAUAAAAGUUAUAGAAACAGAUAGAACCCUCCUUGGCAUAUAUUUAUAGACUUGCUGAAAAUCAAAUUUAUUGAUCAAUACAAACUUAAGUGAUUCCACUUAUCACUUUAUUUUGGGACAACAUACACAUAAUGUUGUUUCUUAAAGAGCUGUAAGGCUUAACUAAACAUAAAGCUCAAUAAGUGAUCUAAAACCGAAUAUGGGAAAGAUUUUAUAGUGUGUGAACCCUGAUUUUGUGAAGAUUUGUUUCCAGGUUUUUCCAUCUCUUUCUCUUCCAUUAAAACUAGCCAUCAUAACUAUGUCAAAGAAGAGCUUGACUUCUGUCAUUUCAUGCUUAUCUUGCUUUUCAUUUAUAACAAUAUCUAUUAUGAUCACUUUUCCUCCUUUGCCUUUUCUUAAUACAGCUUCUUUGCAUUUUUGGAGUAUCUUGACACAGUCAUCAUCACUCCAGUCAUGCAAAAUCCACUACAAGUGAAACAAAAUAAAAGUCUGUUAGAGAGACUCAAUGUGUAGUUUUUUUGUGUAUCAAUUAUUAUAUCAAGUAAUUAAUCUAAUGAGUAAUGUCACAACAAUAAUAUUCUUAGUUAGAUGGCAGAAAGCAAGUAAUUUGAUAGACUAGUCAUUUCCUAAUUUUGCAUACCUUGAGUAAAACUGCAUCAGCUUGAGGGAUAGAUUCAAACAUGUUUCCGCCAAGAAAACUCAAAUUUUCAUUUCCUGAUAAGCCUGCCACAACUUGUGGAAGGUCUAACACUGUGCAUUUUAACAUAGGAAAUUUCUCGCAAAUAAUUUUAGCUGUGUUUCCAGUUCCACCUCCGACAUCAACCAGAGAACCGAAGCCUUCAAAAACUGAUUUGCAAUCACUCAGUGCCAAUCU